CAGCCCUCAAGGCCUGGAGUUAACCGGGUCGCUGAGGAGAAAAUAGUGUUUCAACCUAGUUGGGUAGCUUCACUCCUGGUCCUGAAGAUCUACCACCAUGCCUGUUCUCCAGCUCUCCCUGCACUCCUCACUGCUGAUUACCUGGGCCAGGUGUGUUCAUUCAGUCAGAAUGUGGAGGCAUCUGAGCUAAUCAGGAGAUUGGAGGUCUGAAAGACAGUCUGGGUGGAGGAUCUCGAGGACCCGGAAUGAGCAGCCCUGUUCAUGGAUGUUCCUGUCCCGCCUUUUGGAAGGACCAGAUCAGUGAUGUCAUAUCCUGUCAAGACAUCUACCAGGAGGAGGCAGACAGGCCUGGGUCAAGUCAGCACACCUUUAAGCUCUGUCGCCUUGGCAACGCUUGGCUUUCCUCGAGGCCGACGCUGGCGGCACGCCGCUCCCCUCCAGCCGGGUCGGGCUGACCACUGUCAGAAGAUGAUGAUGAUGAUGAUGGAGCGCUGAUGCAUGUGCCAACAUGGAGCUGCUGUGGAGCUGCAGGAGAUCCAGUGUAUUGAUUGUGUCGAGCACUCAAGGUUGGUGUCACGCUGAGAGCGGGUUCUGGUGAUUAGAGUCCAGAGCGGGAAGGCUGGAGGCGUGUUUGAUCACCGCUCUGAGGGAUCCUUCCGGGAAAAUAGAAUCUUUCCGAUAGAAAUCCAAGUUUUUCUCAGGGUUUGAAUCCACUUUUCCUUUUUCCCGCUGAUGACAACCGUUUGGAAACAUCAUCAAAAUCCAAACGGAGACAGGAAGAUGGAGCUUUAGAGGAGCUUCUGUUGGAUAGUUCUCCUGUAACUCCUGUCUUUGAUGUUUUAACGGUUUUGUUCGGCUUUUUUUUAACUUUUGUUUGUUUUUAUCACAUUUUGUGUCGCUUUAAAAAAAGAAAAAAAAA